UACGUAGGGUGUCAAGCGUUUGUCCGGAUUUAUUGGGCGUAAAGCGCCCGCAGGCGGCUUGCCAAGUCUGACGUGAAAUCUCCCGGCUCAACUGGGAGGGUGCAUCGGAAACUGGCAGGCUUGAGGCAGGGAGAGGGAUGCGGAAUUCCAGGUGUAGCGGUGAAAUGCGUAGAUAUCUGGAGGAACACCGGUGGCGAAGGCAGAUCUCUGGGCCGUAACGUGACUGCUGAGG
rnacentral:rRNA from 1 species